UACGGAGGUUGCGAGCGUUGUUCGGAAUUACUGGGCGUAAAGGGAGCGCAGGCGGCCUGGUUAGUCCGAAGUGAAAGCCCGGGGCUCAACUCCGGAAGUGCUUUGGAUACUGCCAGGCUUGAGUACGUGAGAGGAGAGCGGAAUUCCAGGUGUAGCGGUGAAAUGCGUAGAUAUCUGGAGGAACACCAGUGGCGAAAGCGGCUCUCUGGCACGAUACUGACGCUCAGGCUCGAAAGCAUGGGUAGCGAACGGGAUUAGAUGCCCCGGUAGUCCAUGCCGUAAACGUUGUGCACUAGGUGUAGGAGGUAUCGACCCCUUCUGUGCCGAAGCUAACGCAUUAAGUGCACCGCCUGGGGAGUACGGUCGCAAGACUUAA
rnacentral:rRNA from 1 species